rnacentral:lncRNA from 1 species
UCAAUGGGUUGAGUGCACGUGCACACAGUAAUAGUUCUGUCCGUUGGAGUCGGAGGGCAUCGAUCCCCCUACCUCCCGCAUAUCAUCUGCAGCGCUCAGCAUCGCAUGCUAAGCGGGCGCUCUACCAUUUGAGCUACGACCCCUGCACAUCCUCACCACUCUGCGCUCGAUGACGGGAUCGAACCGUCAACCUUACGGUUAACAGCCGUGCGCUCUACCGACUGAGCUAACCGAGCAGGUCUGGCAGAUGGAUGUACGACAGCACCAAGCAUACGCCACAUGCCGUACUGUACGACUGCUACGGCUGAACCUGUGCACCGUGCCGUACGACAAAAGAACAGAAAAAAUGCGAUGCGAUUAGGUUGAUACAACCUACUGCAUACCAAGGUGCAGGUAAUGCGUCAGCAACCAGCUGCAAACAGGGCUCUAUCGAUGUAUUGUUCGGGUCCGUGCCGUCAGUGCACACCAGCAUAACACAUAAGAAAUGGGGACCUGCAAUUCAUUCAUGCAAAAAAUGUAAUAAUGUAGCUGGCCGCUCGUCGCUGGCCGCCGAUUGGAAUGCUGGAAUAAAAAAAUACCCUGUGUUCGUGCAUGUAUGCCUUGAGGGGGUAGUAGCCGGCCCAGGCCAAAAAGGCCUCUCGAGAUGCGAGGAACAUGUGCUCCAGUGCGUAUUCAUGUAUGUUUUCGCGGGAAGCCUUCGUUGCAAAAAGGAAACAUAUGUAGCUGGCAAGCAAUGAAAACAGGGCCGGGUGUGGGUGCACUCCCCCGAAGCGACAACUAGGGCCUGCAGACCAACUACUUCAGGGCGGUAGUACACAAACACCCGAAGUAACCAGCACAACCACGCACACAAGUCCAUGCAAAUCGUACAGCGGCACUCCCAAUUCACAGGAAACUUUAGUUUUCUCGACGCUUCGCUUACAAAGCUAUGAGAUUGUGUGAAGAAGGGGGCAAUAGCUUCAUCCGUGGCCACCACUAGCCUGGCAGUGUUUACCUUCCCGGGUGUGUUUGGGUGCACCCUCAUGCUCAUGCUUCUGACCCAUACCGACUUCUGAAACGUCAGUGGCAUUUUCGGGUCCAGCACGCACCAUCAGCACAUCCCGUGGAAUCUGUGCCUGGAAUCAACGGCGGCAGCAGCAAGUUUCCACUCCGGGUCGGCUUUUGCAGGUGUGUCACUACACCAGUGGUUCCAUCAUCUCGGCCAUCAGCAAUGGAAUCGAUUGGCAUCCAUCCAGCCUCUUCUGUUCAAGAAUCUGUCCCGGGAUCACUUCCAAAACAGCCUUCCCGGGACAGCACACUCUGUACCUUCCUUCCUUAUCACCUUCCCCAGCAUAAAGCCUGUCGUGUUUCAAUGGGUUGAGUGCACGUGCACACAGUAAUAGUUCUGUCCGUUGGAGUCGGAGGGCAUCGAUCCCCCUACCUCCCGCACAUCAUCUGCGGCGCUCAGCAUCGCAUGCUAAGCGGGCGCUCUACCAUUUGAGCUACGACCCCUGCACAUCCUUACCGCUCUGCGCUCGAUGACGGGAUCGAACCGUCGACCUUACGGUUAACAGCCGUGCGCUCUACCGACUGAGCUAACCGAGCAGGUCUGGCAGAUGAUGUACGGCAGCACCAAGCAUACGCCACAUGACCCGUAUUGUACGACUGCUACGGCUGAACCUGUGCCCCUUGCCGUACGACAAAAGAACAGAAAAAAUGCGAUGCGAUUAGGUUGAUACAACCUACUGCAUACCAAGGUGCAGGUAAUGCGUCAGCAACCAGCUGCAAACAGGGCUCUAUCGAUGUAUUGGUCGGGUCCGUGCCGUCAGUGCACACCAGCAUAACACAUAAGAAAUGGGGACCUGCAAUUCAUUCAUGCAAAAAAGGAAUAAUGUAGCUGGGCGCUCGCCCCUGGCCCCCCAUUGGAAUGCUGAAAUAAAAAAAACCCUGGGUCCGUGCAUGUAUGCCUUGAGGGGGUAGUAGCCGGCCCAGGCCAAAAAGGCCUCUCGAGAUGCGAGGAACAUGUGCUCCAGUGCGUAUUCAUGUAUGUUUUCGCGGGAAGCCUUCGUUGCAAAAAGGAAACAUAUGUAGCUGGCAAGCAAUGAAAACAGGGCCGGGUGUGGGUGCACUCCCCCGAAGCGACAACUAGGGCCUGCAGACCAACUACUUCAGGGCGGUAGUACACAAACACCCGAAGUAACCAGCACAACCACGCACGCAAGUCCAUGCAAAUCGUACAGCGGCACUCCCAAUUCACAGGAAACUUUAGUUUUCUCGACGCUUCGCUUACAAAGCUAUGAGAUUGUGUGAAGAAGGGGGCAAUAGCUUCAUCCGUGGCCACCACUAGCCUGGCAGUGUUUACCUUCCCGGGUGUGUUUGGGUGCACCCUCAUGCUCAUGCUUCUGACCCAUGCCGACUUCUGAAACGUCAGCGGCAUUUUCGGGUCCAGCACGCACCAUCAGCACAUCCCGUGGAAUCUGUGCCUGGAAUCAACGGCGGCAGCAGCAAGUUUCCACUCCGGGUCGGCUUUUGCAGGUGUGUCACUACACCAGUGGUUCCAUCAUCUCGGCCAUCAGCAAUGGAAUCGAUUGGCAUCCAUCCAGCCUCUUCUGUUCAAGAAUCUGUCCCGGGAUCACUUCCAAAACAGCCUUCCCGGGACAGCACACUCUGUACCUUCCUUCCUUAUCACCUUCCCCAGCAUAAACCCUGUCGUGUUUCAAUGGGUUGAGUGCACGUGCACACAGUAAUAGUUCUGUCCGUUGGAGUCGGAGGGCAUCGAUCCCCCUACCUCCCGCAUAUCAUCUGCGGCGCUCAGCAUCGCAUGCUAAGCGGGCGCUCUACCAUUUGAGCUACGACCCCUGUACAUCCUCACCACUCUGCGCUCGAUGACGGGAUCGAACCGUCGACCUUACGGUUAACAGCCGUGCGCUCUACCGACUGAGCUAACCGAGCAGGUCUGGCAGAUGGAUGUACGGCAGCACCAAGCAUACGCCACAUGCCGUACUGUACGAGUGCUACGGCUGAACCUGUGCACCGUGCCGUACGACAAAAGAACAGAAAAAAUGCGAUGCGAUUAGGUUGAUACAACCUACUGCAUACCAAGGUGCAGGUAAUGCGUCAGCAACCAGCUGCAAACAGGGCUCUAUCGAUGUAUUGUUCGGGUCCGUGCCGUCAGUGCACACCAGCAUAACACAUAAGAAAUGGGGACCUGCAAUUCAUUCAUGCAAAAAAUGUAAUAAUGUAGCUGGCCGCUCGUCGCUGGCCGCCGAUUGGAAUGCUGGAAUAAAAAAAUACCCUGUGUUCGUGCAUGUAUGCCUUGAGGGGGUAGUAGCCGGCCCAGGCCAAAAAGGCCUCUCGAGAUGCGAGGAACAUGUGCUCCAGUGCGUAUUCAUGUAUGUUUUCGCGGGAAGCCUUCGUUGCAAAAAGGAAACAUAUGUAGCUGGCAAGCAAUGAAAACAGGGCCGGGUGUGGGUGCACUCCCCCGAAGCGACAACUAGGGCCUGCAGACCAACUACUUCAGGGCGGUAGUACACAAACACCCGAAGUAACCAGCACAACCACGCACGCAAGUCCAUGCAAAUCGUCCGUUGGAGUCGGAGGGCAUCGGUCCCCCUAUUCAUGCAAAAAAUGUAAUAAUGUAGCUGGCCGCUCGUCGCUGGCCGCCGAUUGGAAUGCUGGAAUAAAAAAAUACCCUGUGUUCGUGCAUGUAUGCCUUGAGGGGGUUAGUAGCCGGCCCAGGCCAAAAAGGCCUCUCGAGAUGCGAGGAACAUGUGCUCCAGUGCGUAUUUAUGUAUGUUUUCGCGGGAAGCCUUCGUUGCAAAAAGGAAACAUAUGUAGCUGGCAAGCAAUGAAAACAGGGCCGGGUGUGGGUGCACUCCCCCGAAGCGACAACUAGGGCCUGCAGACCAACUACUUCAGGGCGGUAGUACACAAACACCCGAAGUAACCAGCACAACCACGCACGCAAGUCCAUGCAAAUCGUACAGCGGCACUCCCAAUUCACAGGAAACUUUAGUUUUCUCGACGCUUCGCUUACAAAGCUAUGAGAUUGUGUGAAGAAGGGGGCAAUAGCUUCAUCCGUGGCCACCACUAGCCUGGCAGUGUUUACCUUCCCGGGUGUGUUUGGGUGCACCCUCAUGCUCAUGCUUCUGACCCAUGCCGACUUCUGAAACGUCAGCGGCAUUUUCGGGUCCAGCACGCACCAUCAGCACAUCCCGUGGAAUCUGUGCCUGGAAUCAACGGCGGCAGCAGCAAGUUUCCACUCCGGUCGGCUUUUGCAGGUGUGUCACUACACCAGUGGUUCCAUCAUCUCGGCCAUCAGCAAUGGAAUCGAUUGCCAUCCAUCCAGCCUCUUCUGUUCAAGACUCUGUCCCGGGAUCACUUCCAAAACAGCCUUCCCGGGACAGCACACUCUGUACCUUCCUCCGUAUCACCUUCCCCAGCAUAAAGCCUGUCGUGUUUCAAUGGNUUGAGUGCACGUGCACACAGUAAUAGUUCUGUCCGUUGGAGUCGGAGGGCAUCGAUCCCCCUACCUCCCGCACAUCAUCUGCGGCGCUCAGCAUCGCAUGCUAAGCGGGCGCUCUACCAUUUGAGCUACGACCCCUGCACAUCCUCACCACUCUGCGCUCGAUGACGGGAUCGAACCGUCGACCUUACGGUUAACAGCCGUGCGCUCUACCGACUGAGCUAACCGAGCAGGUCUGGCAGAUGGAUGUACGGCAGCAGCAAGCAUACGCGUUGCACGCCACAUGCCGUACUGUACGAGUGCUACGGCUGAAGCUGUGCACCGUGCCGUACGACAAAAGAACAGAAAAAAUGCGAUGCGAUUAGGUUGAUACAACCUACUGCAUACCAAGGCGCAGGUAAUGCGUCAGCAACCAGCUGCAAACAGGGCUCUAUCGAUGUAUUGGUCGGGUCCGUGCCGUCAGUGCACACCAGCAUAACACAUAAGAAAUGGGGACCUGCAAUUCAUUCAUGCAAAAAAUGUAAUAAUGUAGCUGGCCGCUCG